GCCAGCAUGGCAUAGUGGUUUGAGUGCUGGACUACAACUGUGGAGACCAGGGUUCAAAUCCUGGCUUGACC
rnacentral:tRNA from 1 species